GCUUGCUCUUUCUGAUCAGUGGCGAACGGGUGAGUAACACGUGAGCAACCUGCCCCUGACUCUGGGAUAACCCCGAGAAAUCGGAGCUAAUACCGGAUACGAGACGCACAGGCAUCUGUAGCGUCUGGAAAGAUUUAUCGGUCAGGGAUGGGCUCGCGGCCUAUCAGCUAGUUGGUGAGGUAGUGGCUCACCAAGGCGACGACGGGUAGCCGGCCUGAGAGGGCGACCGGCCACACUGGGACUGAGACACGGCCCAGACUCCUACGGGAGGCAGCAGUGGGGAAUAUUGCACAAUGGGCGCAAGCCUGAUGCAGCGACGCCGCGUGGGGGAUGAAGGCCUUCGGGUUGUAAACCCCUUUCAGCAGGGAAGAAGCGAAAGUGACGGUACCUGCAGAAGAAGCGCCGGCUAACUACGUGCCAGCAGCCGCGGUAAUACGUAGGGCGCAAGCGUUGUCCGGAAUUAUUGGGCGUAAAGAGCUCGUAGGUGGUUUGUCGCGUCUGCUGUGAAAACCCGAGGCUCAACCUCGGGCUUGCAGUGGGUACGGGCAGACUAGAGUGCGGUAGGGGAGACUGGAAUUCCUGGUGUAGCGGUGGAAUGCGCAGAUAUCAGGAGGAACACCGAUGGCGAAGGCAGGUCUCUGGGCCGCAACUGACACUGAGGAGCGAAAGCAUGGGGAGCGAACAGGAUUAGAUACCCUGGUAGUCCAUGCCGUAAACGUUGGGCACUAGGUGUGGGGCUCAUUCCACGAGUUCCGUGCCGCAGCUAACGCAUUAAGUGCCCCGCCUGGGGAGUACGGCCGCAAGGCUAAAACUCAAAGGAAUUGACGGGGGCCCGCACAAGCGGCGGAGCAUGCGGAUUAAUUCGAUGCAACGCGAAGAACCUUACCAAGGCUUGACAUAUACCGAAAACUCGUGGAGACACGGGGUCCGCAAGGGCGGUAUACAGGUGGUGCAUGGUUGUCGUCAGCUCGUGUCGUGAGAUGUUGGGUUAAGUCCCGCAACGAGCGCAACCCUCGUCCUAUGUUGCCAGCG
rnacentral:rRNA from 1 species